rnacentral:rRNA from 1 species
UACGUAGGGAGCAAGCGUUGUCCGGAAUCAUUGGGCGUAAAGCGCGCGUAGGCGGCCCUGUAAGUCCGUUGUGAAAGUCAAAGGCUCAACCUUUGAAAGCCGAUGGAUACUGCAGGGCUAGAGUCCGGAAGAGGCGAGUGGAAUUCCUGGUGUAGCGGUGGAAUGCGCAGAUAUCGGGAGGAACACCGGUGGCGAAGGCGGCUCUCUGGACCACUACUGACGCUGAGGCGCGAAAGCUAGGGGAGCAAACAGG